AUCUGGUACUCUCAUCUCUAAGAAUUUUACAGUUUGUUGUGAUCCACAAAGUCAGAGGCCUUGAGGUAGUCUAGUGAAUGAAGCAGAAGUAGAUGUGUUUCUGGAAUUCCCUUGCUUUCUCCAUGAUCUGAGGAAUGUUGCAAUUUGAUCUCUUGUUUCUCUGCCUCUUCAAACCCAACUUGUAUAUCUGGAAGUUCUCAUUCCAUAUACUGUUGAAGCCUAGCUUGAAGGAGUUUACUAACCAGGAGGCUUCAGAAAUAUGGGACAAUCUAAGCUUGAGAAAUUGGAGGGUGUGAAUGAAGCCCAAUAAGAGAGACAAGAAGAGGAUUCUCUAAUUUGCAUGUUGUUAGCAAGCUGGGCAAGGGCUAGACCAUACCUUCAAGUUCUUGUGUAGGACAGUAGCCUUUAUCUAGAAAGUCAUAAACAGUUUCGCAACUGUAAGAGAGGGAGGGAGAGGGCGGUGGGUGGGAGACAGACACCCUGAGUGGAUGUGAGAGACCAUUAGAGGGGGUUGACAAUUAAAUGAGGGAGGCUUCGGACCACAGCAGAUGUGGUGCACAUGGGAAAACGUAGACGUAUUAGAUAUUUUCAAAGUAAAAUGGGCAGAACUCAGCAAGUAUAUGGACUUGAGCUGAAGGAGAGGGAAUUGUAAACAUGGUUAAAAUCAAGUUUCUGUGUCCUGUCAGAAGAAUACAAAGGUGGAAUGGGGAAUCCUGGAAGUUGGCCAGGUCUGGGAAAAAUUCCAAAUAAGAUUUUUAUGUUUAUGAGCUCAUGAUCUAGAUGGAUAUGAUAACCAAUAUUUAAAUAUGUAAAAUCUCCUUUUCCUUUAAAAAAGUGAGAAGUGUUGAGAUAUAAUUUAUAUACGAUAGAAGUCAAUGGUUUAAUGCAUUACAGUUUGUCGAGUUUUGACAUAUGCAUACCAUCGUGUAAAUGCUACCACAGUAAAAAUAUAGAAAAUGUUCCACUGGUUCGAAAAUGCUCCCUUGGGCUAUUUGCCAUCAGACUCCUUCCUCCACUCCUAUACACCGGCAACCACAGAUAUAUUUCUGUGCCUAUACUUGUGCAUUUUCCAGGAAUCCAUUGACAUGAAAUCAUAUAAUACGUAGCUUUCUGUGUCUGACAUCUCUCAUUGGCACAGCUGAGAUGCAUCCUUGCUGUUGCAUGCAUUAGUAGUUCCUUUUUAAGUGACUGUGUAGUAUUCUUUUGUACGAGUAUAUGCUUUUGUUUUUCUUUCAUCUGUAUACCAGUUGUUGAAUAGCUGGACUGUUUCUAGCUUUGGCUAUUAGGAGUACAUGAGUAGAAUAUUUGAGUAAAUGUCCUUGUGUGAGCAUGUUUUCCUUUCUCUUGGGUAAAAUUAAAACUCCUAGUAAGUAUGAAAAUUCCCACUAUAAUAGAUGAAGAAGAAGUAUGUGCUACUGGAGAAGAGUGAAGAACUAGCUACAGAAGGAAUGAAAAGGCUAAGCCAAAGUGGAAACAACACCCAGUUGUGGAUGUGUCUGGUGGUGAAAGUAAAGUCUGAUGCUAAAAGAACAAUAUUGUAUAGGAACCAGAGGUAUAUUCAGAGAAAUCAGUUACCAGUUCAGAGAUUUAAAUGUGCAGUGCUCCAAGCAAAAAAUGGAAACAGAGGUAUGCAUUUAUGUAUUUAUUCCAUGGAAGUGAGUAAAGCCAUUGCAAGCAUGAUGGAAAACCCAGAAGCAGAGAAAGAAAUGGUUCAUCAAAGCAUGUUUAAAAAUAGGUAUUAAAAACCUUAAUAUCUAUUUCUGUCAUGAGUGUCUUCCCGGGACACAUUCUCCACUAAGGGUAACCUGGGACUACCUAUCACCAGAGUUAGUGGAUGCAUAGGAAAGAUUGCCCUGGAAGGAAAAAAAAAUAGUCUUUAAGCCCUUUUCUCAUCCAACAGAACCCUGCAGUUCCAGGACUCCACCUGAGUGGCGGGAAAACCUCAACCUGCACUGCACAUGCCCAACUCAGGGAGCAUGCGCAGUGUGUGUGCGCGCGCGCGUACCCCUUGCUGCGCAUGCGCCUUGGUGCUCAUACGCCUUCCUGAGCGCAUUCUGUGAGAACCGUUGGGCGUGAGACGGGUGUGUUUAUUCAGUCCCGGUUCUUUCUCACUACUUGAGACUCACCAGGGAGAAAUAUGAGUGGGCAAGUGGCAUCAACAUUGGGACCUACAGAUCAAAGAUUCCUCCCAGCUGGAUGAACCUGUGGUUGACCAGCAGCCCAGUGUUGAGCAACCUCAACAAGAGGAAGCACCAGCUGAGAAUCAGGAUAUCACACCUGGAAAGGAGGAAGUCAAUGGAGAGGAUCCAGUGAAUCAUGGUGAAGAGAAGGAGAAGGAUGCCCCUGGAGAUUCUGACCUGGAAACUGAUCUCCAGGAAUUGGCUGUGGCAAAGACUGGGGGUCAAGGCGGAGAUGGUCCCGAUGUCGAGGAGGAGAUUGCAUCAAAUACAGAGCCUGUUGAAAUGUCAGAAGCAGGUGAAGGGGAACCAGUUGCUUGAAAGAAGAUAAACUGAAACCAUCUAUGCUGUUCUUAUGCUGUUUAUUUGACUGUUAAAAGUUCUGUCAAUAAAGUUUCAUUUUCUACUUGCACAUUUUUUGUUAACUAUUCCCUGGAUAUUUAAUGUUAUU